GGCAGUGUAGCUCAGUGGUUAACAGCGUCCGACUCUCGGCCAGAAGGCCCGGGUUCGAUUCCCGGCCGCAAUCA
rnacentral:tRNA from 1 species